rnacentral:rRNA from 1 species
CUUGAGCUAGAGUGUCGUACGGGUGCGUAACACGUAUGCAACCUACCUUUUACAGGAGUAUAGCUCCCCGAAAGGGGAAUUAACCCUCCAUAAUAUCAUUGGAUGGCAUCAUUUGAUGAUUAAAACUGAGGUGGUAAAAGAUGGGCAUGCGUCUGAUUAGUUAGUUGGCAGUGUAACGGACUACCAAGACGAUGAUCAGUAGGGGACCUGAGAGGGUGAUCCCCCACACUGGCACUGAGAUACGGGCCAGACUCCUACGGGAGGCAGCAGUAGGGAAUAUUGGACAAUGGGUGAGAGCCUGAUCCAGCCAUGCCGCGUGCAGGAAGAAGGCGUUAUGCGUUGUAAACUGCUUUUGCCAGGGGAUAAAACGGUUCUGCGGAACUAAUUGAAGGUACCUGGUGAAUAAGCCACGGCUAACUACGUGCCAGCAGCCGCGGUAAUACGUAGGUGGCAAACGUUGUCCGGAUUUAUUGGGUUUAAAGGGUGCGUAGGCGGCCCUGUAAGUCAGUGCUGAAAUAUCCCGGCUUAACCGGGAGGGUGGCAUUGAUACUGCAGGGCUUGAGUACAGAUGAGGUAGGCGGAAUUGACGGUGUAGCGGUGAAAUGCAUAGAUAUCGUCAAGAACACCGAUAGCGAAGGCAGCUUACCAAGCUGUAACUGACGCUGAGGCACGAAAGUGUGGGGAUCAAACAGGAUUAGAUACCCUGGUAGUCCACACUGUAAACGUUGAUGACUCGAUGUUGGCGAUAUACAGCCAGCGUCCAAGAGCAAUCGUUAAGUCAU